UUCCUACGGGGGGCAGCAGUGGGGAAUAUUGGACAAUGGGCGCAAGCCUGAUCCAGCAAUGCCGCGUGUGUGAAGAAGGCCUUCGGGUUGUAAAGCACUUUUAUCGGGAGCGAAAAGCGGAUGGCGAAUACCCGUCCGUGCUGACGGUACCCGAGGAAUAAGCACCGGCUAACUUCGUGCCAGCAGCCGCGGUAAUACGAAGGGUGCAAGCGUUAAUCGGAAGUACUGGGCGUAAAGCGUGCGUAGGCGGUUCGCUAAGUCUGCCGUGAAAGCCCCGGGCGCAACCUGGGAAUUGCGGUGGAUACUGGCGAGCUGGAGUGUGGUAGAGGAGGGUGGAAUUCCCGGUGUAGCGGUGAAAUGCGUAGAGAUCGGGAGGAACAUCAGUGGCGAAGGCGGCCCUCUGGACCAACACUGACGCUGAGGCACGAAAGCGUGGGGAGCAAACAGGAUUAGAUACCCCUGUAGUCCG
rnacentral:rRNA from 1 species